rnacentral:rRNA from 1 species
UACGUAGGGACCAAGCGUUGUUCGGAUUUACUGGGCGUAAAGGGCGCGUAGGCGGCGCGGUAAGUCACUUGUGAAAUCUCUGAGCUUAACUCAGAACGGCCAAGUGAUACUGCAGUGCUAGAGUGCAGAAAGGGCAAUCGGAAUUCUUGGUGUAGCGGUGAAAUGCGCAGAUAUCAGGAGGAACACCGGUGGCGAAGGCGGGUCUCUGGGCCGAUACUGACGCUGAGGAGCGAAAGCGUGGGGAGCGAACAGG